rnacentral:rRNA from 1 species
UACGUAGGCAGCGAGCGUUGUUCGGAGUUACUGGGCGUAAAGGGUGUGUAGGCGGUUGUUUAAGUUUGGUGUGAAAUCUCCCGGCUCAACUGGGAGGGUGCGCCGAAUACUGAAUGACUUGGAGUGCGGGAGAGGAGAGUGGAAUUCCUGGUGUAGCGGUGAAAUGCGUAGAUAUCAGGAGGAACACCGGUGGUGUAGACGGCUCUCUGGACCGUAACUGACGCUGAGACACGAAAGCCAGGGGAGCAAACGGG